AACGAACGCUGGCGGCAGGCCUAACACAUGCAAGUCGAGCGCGCCCUUCGGGGUGAGCGGCGGACGGGUGAGUAACGCGUGGGAACGUGCCCUUUUCUACGGAAUAGCCUCGGGAAACUGAGAGUAACACCGUAUACGCCCUUUGGGGGAAAGAUUUAUCGGAAAAGGAUCGGCCCGCGUUGGAUUAGGUAGUUGGUGGGGUAAUGGCCUACCAAGCCGACGAUCCAUAGCUGGUUUGAGAGGAUGAUCAGCCACACUGGGACUGAGACACGGCCCAGACUCCUACGGGAGGCAGCAGUGGGGAAUCUUAGACAAUGGGGGCAACCCUGAUCUAGCCAUGCCGCGUGAGUGAUGAAGGCCUUAGGGUUGUAAAGCUCUUUCAGCUGGGAAGAUAAUGACGGUACCAGCAGAAGAAGCCCCGGCUAACUCCGUG
rnacentral:rRNA from 1 species